rnacentral:rRNA from 1 species
UACGGAGGAUGCGAGCGUUAUCCGGCUUUAUUGGGUUUAAAGGGUGCGCAGGCGGUCUGUUAAGUCAGCGGUCAAAGCCCGGGGCUCAACCCCGGCCCGCCGUUGAAACUGGCUUGCUAGAGUGGGCGAGAAGUAUGCGGAAUGCGUGGUGUAGCGGUGAAAUGCAUAGAUAUCACGCAGAACUCCGAUUGCGAAGGCAGCAUACCGGCGCCCAACUGACGCUCAUGCACGAAAGUGUGGGUAUCGAACAGG